UAAAUCAUCAUGUUUACAGCCAGCUUCCUUGAGACAAGUCAAGAGAUGAAUACAUUAACAUUUCCAAGUCGCUUAAUGUGUCUGCACCUUCAUUUUG